rnacentral:rRNA from 1 species
AUUGAACGCUGGCGGCAGGCCUAACACAUGCAAGUCGAGCGGAGCGGCGGACGGGUGAGUAAUGCCUAGGAAUCUGCCUGGUAGUGGGGGAUAAAGUCGGGAAACGGGCGCUAAUACCACAUACUAUCAGAUGAGCCUAGGUCGGAGUAGCUAGUUGGGGGGGUAAAGGCCUACCAAGGCGACGAUCCGUAAAUAGUCUGAGAGGAUGAUCAGUCAACAUGGAACUGAGACACGGUCCAGACGCCUACGGGAGGCAGCAGUGGGGAAUAUUCGGCAAUGGGCGAAAGUCUGAUCCAGCCAUGCCGCGUGUGUGAAGAAGGUCUUCGGAUUGUAAAGCACUUUAAGUUGGGAGGCGUUACCCACAGAAUAAGCACCGGCUAACUUCGUGCCAGCAGCCGCGGUAAUUC